rnacentral:tRNA from 1 species
GGGGGAGUGGCGAAAUGGCAGACGCGCAUGCCUUAGGAGCAUGUGCCGCAAGGCGUGCCGGUUCGAAUCCGGCCUCCCCCACCA